rfam:Punica granatum cultivar Dabenzi scaffold532, whole genome shotgun sequence.
GAUGGAUAGUUCCAAAGGGAUCGCAUUGAUCAGAUCGAGCGCAGAUGCUGAAGUGAGCUUCGGUAUCCAGUUUUUCAAUCUCAUAUGCAUGCCCCUCAGAUCAUGCGAUCCCUUUGGAAUUUUCCAU